rnacentral:ncRNA from 1 species
UAUUCUCAGGGCGGGGUGAAAGUCCCCACCGGCGGUAAACCACAGUCAGUACUGAUGAAACGCAUUUUCGUCUUGAGUGGAAGCCCGCGAGCGCUCAAUCCUUCGGGGUUAGAGGUCAGCAGAUCCGGUGUAAUUCCGGGGCCGACGGUUAAAGUCCGGAUGGGAGAGAGU